rnacentral:rRNA from 1 species
AUAUUUAAUGGCCGCGGUAAUUUGACCGUGCAAAGGUAGCAUAAUCAUUAGUCUUUUGAUUGGGGACUUGUAUGAAUGGUUUGACAAGAUAUUAACUGUCUCAUAUUAUUAUUUAUAAUUUGAAUUUUGAGUGAAAAUGCUUAAAUUUUUUUAUUGGACGAGAAGACCCUAUAGAUCUUAAUUAAUUUGAAUUUUAUUUUAUUUAGUUUAUUUUUUUAAUAAUUUUUUUAUUUUUUUUGUUGGGGUGACAUUGAGAUAUAUAUAACUCUUUUUAUUUUUAUACAAUUAUUUUUGUUUAUUUGACCUUUUAUUAUUAUUAUAAGAUUAGAUACCUUAGGGAUAACAGCGUAAUUUCUUUUGAGAGUUCUUAUCGACAAGGAAGAUUGCGACCUCGAUGUUGGAUUAAGAUAGUUUUUAGGUGUAGAAGCUUAUUUAUUUAGGUCUGUUCGACCUUUAAAAUCUUACAUGAUCUGA